GUUGUCUAGGUCUCAGUAAGGAACUCCCCUCACCUGGUUGUCUAGGUCUCAGUUAGGAACUCCCCUCACCUGGUUGUCUAGGUCUCAGUAAGGAACUCCCCUCACCUGGUUGUCUAGGUCUCAGUAAGGAACUCCCCUCACCUGGUUGUCUAGGUCUUAGUAAGGAACUCCCCUCACCUGGUUGUCUCAUCUGUCUGUUGGUCUGUCAUGUUUUGUCUGUCUUGUCUGUGUAGCGUCUUACCCGUCUCAGUGAAAGAGAC